rnacentral:lncRNA from 1 species
AGGAGCCUGGAUGACAGUGAAAAGAGUACAGAAACUCACAAAGGAAGCUGUGAGGCAGUACUGUUUCAAUGCUUUAUUAACAGUUGGAAACAAACCCAACAAACUGGAGGUGAUGACAUCCCAGAAGCCCAAGAGGCAAGGGAAACAGGUUUGCAUUUUGUCCCUUUAUUGUUAUUAUUAAACGCAUCUUAGCAAAAGUAGAUUAAAAAAGAAAGGGUCAAAGCCCCAGAUGUCAGCAGGGAGGAGGGGAUUGAGGAGAGUAGCAGGACCCCCCAAUCAUAGUCCUCCCAGCACUAGCUCAGGGGGGCUGCUGGUGCCCCUUUGGAGACAGGCUCUAGCAACCAGAACCCUUCUGCCCAGCCUCAAGGCCUCCCUGGGGGUGCCUGAGGUCUCCUAAGCUCCCCUUGCUCUAAGAACUAUACUUUGGGGCCAGGCUUUUCCAGUGCCAUUCUCACCCCCUACCUGGGAGUGGGAAGCUGAGAGGAGCACAGAAGGGCAAAGUGUUACCUUUAGCCAGAGGAUCUGAGCUUCCUGUGGCUGUGGCCACUGAGGCAUGUGGCCUUCCCACUGCUGAAGAGAGAACAGGGUGGGGCGUCCCUGGGCCCACUUCUCCAGAGCGUCCAGUUAGCAUCUGCACAUUUGGCUUGAUAAAUAUAUUAAAUUUAUAAAAAUUCUUUGUUGUUUGAGAGCUCCUAUUACGCUUAGGCCUGGUCCAGCUCAAUCAGAGAAGAGCCGCCUCUGGCCCCCAAGUCAGAUGUUGGGGGUAAGAGUCUGCACUGGCCUCGAGGGCCCAGAGGCUUGAGGGCUGAGUGGAGGUCCAGAGGGGUUGCUCAGAAUUGAGGCUUGUGGUGAGAAAUCCCAGGGACUCUGGAACCUGGCAUCAAAGCCUCUUAUAUNNNNGGAGGGGAAAGGAGGAAGGGUUAUUUUUCUUAAAAAAAAAAAAAAAAAUUCAUAUAAAAAUAGAUCCAUUUGCAAAACAAUUUCUCAACCAGGAGGCUCCACCUCCCCUUUCCUUGGAGACAGAGGGUAAGGUGUGGGGAUGGUCACAGGACAGCCCACACUUUCAGAUGAGACCAAAGCUCUGGGGAGGGCGUGAGGAGGAGGGCCUGUGGCUCAGCCGGGGGCUGGUACUGGAGGAGGGUCGAGAGAGGCCAGGGCAGGCUCUGUCCCACCCUGCCUGCCCACCCCCAGGCCCUGGCCUAGGCCACAGCAGGACAGGUCAACGUGGUCU